CCUACGGGAGGCAGCAGUGAGGAAUAUUGGUCAAUGGGUGAGAGCCUGAACCAGCCAAGUCGCGUGAGGGAGUACUGCCCUAUGGGUUGUAAACCUCUUUUGUCGGGGAGCAAAAGCCGGACGUGUCCGGCUGUGAGAGUACCCGAAGAAAAAGCAUCGGCUAACUCCGUGCCAGCAGCCGCGGUAAUACGGAGGAUGCGCGCGUUAUCCGGAUUUAUUGGGUUUAAAGGGUGCGCAGGCGGAUUUUUAAGUCAGCGGUAAAAUCGUGGGGCUCAACCCCAUCCCGCCGUUGAAACUGGGGAUCUAGAGUGUGCGAGAGGUAUGCGGAAUGCGUGGUGUAGCGGUGAAAUGCAUAGAUAUCACGCAGAACCCCGAUUGCGAAGGCAGCAUACCGGUGCACAACUGACGCUCAGGCACGAAAGCGUGGGUAUCGAACAGGAUUAGAUACCCUAGUAGUC
rnacentral:rRNA from 1 species